rnacentral:rRNA from 1 species
GAAAACCGCCAAUGGACUCCAUCGGAGGUACGUCGCAGUGUGGCCCAACAUAGAGGCGCCGCACACCCUCUUUGCUUCACAGACAAAGUAAUGAAGCAUGAAUUCCCAGACGGGUUCAAACCGAUGAAUAUCGAAUCAUACGACGGAACAACGGAUCCCGCAGUAUGGAUCGAGGACUUCCUCCUCCAUAUCCACAUGGCCCGCGGAGAUGAUCUUCAUGCCAUCAAAUGCAUGCCACUAAAAAUCAAAGGACCAGCUCGGUACUGGUUAAACAGUCUGCCGGAAAAUUCUAUUGGCAGCUGGGAAGAUUUGGAAGACGCUUUUCGCGACAACUUCCAAGGAACAUAUGUCCGGCCACCAGAUGCCGAUGACUUAAGUCACAUUGUCCAGCAGCUCGGAGAGUCAACCAGGAAGCUCUGGACUAGGUUCUUAGUUAAAAAGAACCAAAUCAUC